UCCCUGGUGGCUCAGAUGGUAAAGCGUCUGCCCGCAAUGUAGGAGACCUGGGUUCGAUCCCUGGGUUGGGAA
rnacentral:tRNA from 1 species